AAGCCAUGCAAAGUGUGUCCUCUGCCUGUGAGAGACAGAGUAAACAUGCGGUUACAAACUCAGAAACACAAACUAAUGUGACAAUAACAAAGGACUCAUAAUAAUGUGCCACGACCCAUAAAACACUAAAGCAGUUUAACUAUGGUAUUUUAAAAACCGUAGUAACCACGAAUUUACCAUGGCCCUACAGUUUAACCAUGAUUUUGUAAUACAAAUGCUAAUCAAAACAUGGCUUUAUCCUAGUAAAAGUACAGAAGUAUUUGUCACAGGUGAGGUUUUGUGAGGGCGGAACCAAAAGUGUGGAAGACGGGUUCCGCCCGACGAUGGUUCCGCCCGGACGUGUUACUCUGAACACCGGAAUUUCCGGGGUUUCCCCGAUUACGAAAUCAAGCCUGAUUUCGCCCAGGUGAGGGUAAUCUACACAGCGGUUGCUGAUAGGCUGAUGAGGAGAAGAGUUAGAGGAUAUAAAGACCUUUGAAGACAUCAAACGGUGUGCUUGUUGUGUACCUUGUGUACGCUGUGUUGCUGCUUUGCAGACGGACUACGCUGGCCUGAUCGUUCUCCUGGGGAAGAGAGAAAAAGAAAGUCAGCUGGGCGAAGGAAUACUGGGUGAUUUCACUUGUGAGUGAGCGGAUACAGAGCUAUUGAGUUUGCAGAUACAGGAAACUAUUGACAAACGAAGAGUGAGUAACAGUUGUAGUAAUUCUCUGUGUAAUACCUGGAAGAAGAGUUUGCUGGGUGUGUGUUUUUCUUGUGUUUGAGGUCCCUGGCCCCACUGGAGAGGGAAGCGUGGGCGAGCCGCGGGUUGACCGGAAACACGGAAGAGAUAUUUGGUAAGAAGCGCUGUUUACUAAUAGAGCAGUGGCCCUGCGGGAAAAGGAAGCGUGGGUGAGCCAGAGGAGUGAUUAACAACACGCCGGGGCUGUGAAUAACAUAUAUCUUACCCUCAUCGGUGGCCUAACGAUCGCCCAACUAUUCCUCUCGAGGGAGUCGAAGCAAAGUGGCUAGGUCGAUUAAGAAUCACGUGAAGUGUGUACAAGAGUGCUGUGGGUGAGUUUCACUUCUUAUUGGUGUUUACGCUAUGCUUGCUGUGUGUAUGCUGUGCUUGUAGCGACCAAACUGCCCAGCCUCGGACGAGUCGCGAGAUGACGACAUCUGUUGUGGCCUGAGCCAUACGGAGAGAGAGGAACACUAAGUCUUUGGCCCCGGGUGUGUCAACGAGAGCUUCACUCCUCCAAAGAGCAGACAGUGGUGAAACCCAAAGCUCGUGGUGUGCGGAGCCCCGACGAGAGUUCGCCCCAACUCGUGACCCCGGUCGAGGAAGUAGGAGGGGGAUUUUGGGAAGCGUUCGGCUCCGCGCCACUGGACCCACCAGUCCCUACGACGCCCGGACAGUUGAGUGGAUGGGUGAAGGAAUACGGUGCACCAACGCUGUAGCGAAAGUCCACUGUCUGUGAGUGAGCAUAAAGAUCUCCAGUGUUGUGAGUAACGUAUCCUGUGAAGUGAAAUUAAUCUGUGCUUAUAGCAAUUACUUACCUGUGUCCCAGCGAAGGAUCUGUUUGUGUGAACGAAGACCCCCAGUGUUGUGAGUAACGUAUCCUGUGAAGUGAAAUUAAUCUGUGCUUAUAGCAAUUACUUACCUGUGUCCCAGCGAAGGCUCUGUGUGUGUGAACGAAGACCCCCAGUGCUGUGAGUAACGUAUCCUGUGAAGUGAAAUUAAUCUGUGCUUAUAGCAAUUACUUACCUGUGUCCCAGCGGAGGCUCUGUGUGUGUGAACGAAGACCCCCAGUGUUGUGAGUAACGUAUCCUGUGAAGUGAAAUUAAUCUGUGCUUAUAGCAAUUACUUACCUGUGUCCCAGCGAAGGCUCUGUGUGUGUGAACGAAGAUCCCCAGUGCUGUGAGUAAUCCAUCCUGUGUAGAGAUAUUGACCUGUGCUUAUAGCAAUCACUUACCUGUGUCCCAGCGAAUGCUCUGUGUAAACGAAGAUCCCCAGUGCUGUGAGUAAUCCAUCCUGUGUAGAGAUAUUGACCUGUGCUUAUAGAAAUCACCUACCUGUGUUCCAGCGAAUGCUCUGUGUAAACGAAGAUCCCCGGUACUGGAAGGCCCUGUGAGAAACGAGACCCCUAGCGCCGUGAGUAACUGACUUCUGUGUAGUGACACUUACCUGGGUUCGCAGCAACCCCUGUCUGUAUUCCAGUCCACGCUUGGUGGGAACGAAGACCCCCAGUGCCGUGAGUAACUUACCUUGGUGUGGCGACAUCUACUGGGAAUUGUGGUAACUGCCUACCUGGUGCCAGCGAGUGCUCUGUGGUGUCCGAAGUCCCCGUACUGUGAGUUGUCUCCCUGAACGCCUCGCUAACGAUUCUGUUUCCAGGGUCUAAAGAGCAACGUACCUAAAGCACAGAAGAGAGAGGGAGAAAACGAAGAGUUAGAGAAGUAGUGACCCGUAGCAACAUACAGCUGGAUAAUUCUUUGUUUGAUUCUGCCUCCAGGAAGAAGCGGAGCGCGCCACAGAUUCUAGGACCAGAGCCCCACAGGAGCCCCUGUCCCCAGUCCUUGUCGCAAGUGGCCCUGGAGGCGAGAAAAAGCCACAUUAGUUUUAAUUUGCCUCUCCCCUUUCCCCUUUUUCCCUUUUUAAAUAUUUAAAUAAAGUUUGUUUUAAACGUA